GAGGCCAAUAAGAUAAAUAUGUUGGUAACUGGUUCUAAUAUCUGAUGCGAUUCCUUUUGAUAUGUAAAUUAUCCCUAAACUUGAGAUGUGAAAUGCAAUAAUAUUUAUGUAGUGAACAAUAGGAAUGGAGAUAUCCAACCUGGAGUCACAAGGCGGGCAGAUAUGAAUGAGAAGAAUUUAUAAGCCGAGAAUUAGGUAAAGCAAAU
rnacentral:lncRNA from 1 species